AUUUAUUUAAUAUAUAUUAAGUAUAUUUGACUUCCAAUCAAAAAGUUUGACAAAAACAAAAUAAAUA
rnacentral:tRNA from 1 species